AUUGAACGCUGGCGGCAUGCCUUACACAUGCAAGUCGAACGGUAACAGGUCUUCGGAUGCUGACGAGUGGCGAACGGGUGAGUAAUACAUCGGAACGUGCCUAGUAGUGGGGGAUAACUACUCGAAAGAGUGGCUAAUACCGCAUGAGAUCUACGGAUGAAAGCAGGGGAUCGCAAGACCUUGUGCUACUAGAGCGGCCGAUGGCAGAUUAGGUAGUUGGUGGGAUAAAAGCUUACCAAGCCGACGAUCUGUAGCUGGUCUGCGAGGACGAUCAGCCACACUGGGACUGAGACACGGCCCAGACUCCUACGGGCGGCAGCAGUGGGGAAUUUUGGACAAUGGGCGCAAGCCUGAUCCAGCAAUGCCGCGUGCAGGAUGAAGGCCUUCGGGUUGUAAACUGCUUUUGUACGGAACGAAAAGCCCUGGGUUAAUACCCUGGGGUCAUGACGGUACCGUAAGAAUAAGCACCGGCUAACUACGUGCCAGCCGCCGCGGUAAGAC
rnacentral:rRNA from 1 species